AGGUCAGAACAAGCAACUGGGACAUCACCACUUUCGUAACCAGGGGAAUUUCACAUUUUUAUUAAAUGUAUAUAUUUUUUUAUUACAAAUAUUUACAUUGACGGCCUAUCCCAGCCAAACCAGGACGACGCUGGGCCAAUUGUACACCGCCUUAUGGGACUCCCAAUGACAGACAGAUUCGAUGCAGCCUGAAUUCGAACCAGGGACUGCAGUGCCUUAGACCGCUGCGCCACUCGGGAGCCCCGAAGGCAUGAAGGCUACACCUACAGAUGGAAACGACAGACCACAAAUAAGUCCUUCUGGAAGUGCACCGAAUAUUAUGCUUUCGAAUGCAGAGGCAACAUGGGUUGGGAGAAGGAUGGACGCAAUGGAAGAAAGCCAAUGUUCCCCAUAGAAUUAUGGAACUGCUAAGAUGCUGUCCUGCAAGACUUGGCGAAGACCAACAACAGAGUGGAGGACUGGCAUGGAACAUUUUUGGCAAAUCUAGGUGCUACCCACCCCCACCAAUUGGAAGUUCAUCAAGGCAUUGCAAUGACAGCAGCAAAGAAGUGAAAUGAGAAUGGAGCAGCAACUUGCUGGCGUUUCUCCACCACAGCAAAGACCCCGCUACCGCAAGCAACAGAAGGAUCUGAAGUCACUGGUUCAGGGGAACACCACAACUGAACAGCUGGAGUCUUAAAAGGCACUGCAUGGUCAAUCUGACUUCUGCAUUGGCUGUGCAGCAUUUACGGGGAUACAGCCUCUGCAGAAGUCAGAGCAUUCAUACGUCUCGCGCUUAUCAGAUCAGCGCAGAGCUGUUGUCAAGGAAGUGAGUUUGUGUUUAUACAGGCCUCACCUACCGUCAAUCAUCAUCUCAAUGCAGCGCUAUAUGAAGCCCUCCGCAUUGUUACAAGAUUUGUUUGGCGUACAGCAUGCCCCCGGAUGAAUCAAAUCAUCACUACUGAUCAGAUUUUCAGAUCAAGUAUAAAUUGGCUUUGACCCUGCAUACAAUCUCAAGUUGCAGUUGUGAAUAAUCCAAAAUGAGCACAUGAACACUUAAACCCUUUCAAUGACUCAAAUCCUUAUUGAACCAGAACAUUAAGCACAUUCUUGGAAAAUGUGUUUCUGAACUUUUUUGUUUUCAUGGCACUGCAUGGUCAUGUAGCCUAAUCUGUAUUUUUUGGUUAAUUGAAAAUAAAUGCUUUA